UUAAAAGUUAAAUUGGUUCCUAUUUUUUAUUAAUUAUUUAAAGUUUUAUUCUUACUUAAUAAUUUACUUAAAUUUUGUUUCACAUGCAAGUUUUUGCGUGAUUGUGAUUAUAUUUCUUAAAGAAAUGGUCUGUUUGUUAAAUAUUCGCAGUGUUUGAUAUUAUUAAUUAAAGAAAUUUAGAAUUAGCGAUAGUUUAUAGUUCCGGCAAAAGUCGUGCCAGCCGCCGCGGUUAUACGGAGGGAGCAAGUAAAUCUUAUUAGUUUAUAGUUAUAUUGUGUAAGGUUUGAAAGUUAAUGAUAAAUUUAUUAAGUGAAAUUUUAAAUUUAAAUAAUUUUUUAUAUACUUUAGAGGCUAUGAAAUUUAAAUAGUAAACUAGGAUUAGAUACCCUAUUAUUUUAAAUGUAAAUGAUAAAAAACUUGAGUAGUACUAGUUAUGUUCUUGAAACUCAAAGAAUUUGGCGGUGUUUUAGUCUUUUCAGAGGAACCUGUCCCGUAAUCGAUAAUCCACGUUAAACCUUACUUAUCUUUGUUAUCAGCUUGUAUACCGCCGUCGUCAGAAUGUCCUAUGAAGGGUUAAAUUUUCUUAAAUUUUUAUUAUAAAUGAUGUCAGGUCAAGGUGUAGCUUACGGAUAAGUGGAGAUGGGUUACAAUAAAUAUAUUUAUAACGUAUAAGGUUUUGAAACAAACUUUUGAAGGUGGAUUUGAUGGUAAUUGAUUUAAAUUAAAUUAAUUUGAUUUUAGCUCUAAAACAUGCACACAUCGCCCGUCGCUCUCGUUAAUUAAGGCGAGAUAAGUCGUAACAUAGUAGGUGUACCGGAAGGUGCACCUGGAAAG
rnacentral:ncRNA from 1 species